AACGUACGCUGGCGGCACGCCUAACACAUGCAAGUCGAACGAAGUAGCAAUACUUAGUGGCAGACGGGUGAGUAACAUGUAGGUAUCUGCCCUUUGGCCUGGAAUAACACGAGGAAACCUGUGCUAAUACCGGAUAAGUCCUAACGGAGAAAGUUUUAAUGCCAAAAGAUGAGCCCGCAUUUGAUUAGCUUGUUGGUGAGGUAAAAGCUCACCAAGGCUAUAAUCAAUAGCUGAUUUGAGAGGAUGAUCAGCCACAUUGGGACUGAGACACGGCCCAAACUCCUACGGGAGGCAGCAGUGGGGAAUCUUGCACAAUGGAGGAAACUCUGAUGCAGCGAUGCCGCGUGAGUGAAGAGGGCCCUUGGGUUGUAAAGCUCUUUCGUCGGGGAAGAAAAUGACUGUACCCGAAUAAGAAGGUCCGACUAACUUCGUG
rnacentral:rRNA from 1 species